AAAAAUUGUAGCAACCAUAGAAUAAAGUUCGAAUUUGAAGUUGUGAAAAUUUGUCAAAAUUUCAAGUUUAAGAGCAAUGACCGAGAACUCGUCAUUUUACGGCUCCUCGUGUGGAGACUACUCCGACAUUGAGAAAAUUAAAAGCGAAAUUCUGACGAAACGGUUUGACCUUUCAAAAUUCAAAUGUAUGCCUAAGGAAAUAUUGGAAACAACUUUGGUUCACUGGCGAGGCGAGCAGUUGCAGAAGGUGGAGGAAGAGCUGCAUUUGCUGCGCAUUAUUGAAGACAUGAUGAAAAAUUCGGACGCUGAAAAGUUUGAGGGCUACACGGACAAGACGAAAUUAGCCGAGUUGAUAAAAAGUGUUCGCAGUUCGAGUGAAAUUUAGUUUAAUAAAGUCUGCAAAAAUC